UACGAAGGGGGCUAGCGUUGCUCGGAAUCACUGGGCGUAAAGGGUGCGUAGGCGGGUCUUUUAAGUCAGGGGUGAAAUCCUGGAGCUCAACUCCAGAACUGCCUUUGAUACUGAGGAUCUUGAGUACGGGAGAGGUGAGUGGAACUGCGAGUGUAGAGGUGAAAUUCGUAGAUAUUCGCAAGAACACCAGUGGCGAAGGCGGCUCACUGGCCCGGUACUGACGCUGAGGCACGAAAGCGUGGGGAGCAAACAGG
rnacentral:rRNA from 1 species